rnacentral:rRNA from 1 species
UACGGGGGGAGCAAGUGUUGUUCGGAAUCACUGGGCGUAAAGGGAGCGUAGGCGGGCUCUUAAGUUGGAUGUUUAAAACCGGGGCCCAACCCCGGCGUGGCAUCCAAAACUGGGAGUCUUGAAUGGAACAGAGGCUAGUGGAAUUGGAGGUGUAGCGGUGGAAUGCGUAGAGAUCUCCAAGAACACCCGUUGCGAAGGCGGCUAGCUGGGUUCACAUUGACGCUGAGGCUCGAAAGCGUGGGGAGCAAACAGG